CAGCAGUAAUUAAUAUUGAAUAUAAGCGUCAGCUUGAUUCGGUUAAAGUAAAAAGGGCCGGCAAAUACGGUGCCAGCCGCCGCGGUUACACCAUAUGACCCAAAUUGAUCCUCUACGGCGUAAAGCGUGAUUAAAGUUAAUGUAUAUUGUAGUUAAACUACUAAUAGGCUGUAAUACGCUUUUAUUUAGGAAACUCAAAAACGAAAGUUACUGCAUGUUAAACAACUUGAAUUCACAACAGUUAGGUUACAAACUAGGAUUAGAUACUCUACUAUGCCUAACUAUAAACUUUUAAUUUACACCAAAUAUCGCCUGGGAACUACGAGCAAAGCUUAAAACCCAAAGGACUUGACGGUACCCCACAUCCCCCUAGAGGAGCCUGUCCUUUAAUCGAUACUCCACGCUUAACCUCACCAUUUUUGGCUAAUCAGUCUGUAUACCUCCGUCGUCAGCUUACCACGUGAGCGACUUAAAGUAAGCUAAAUGUUUAUUUUACAUC
rnacentral:rRNA from 1 species